GUCGUAAGUCUCUCUCUCUCUCUCUCUCUCUCUCUCAUAUUCUAAUUUUUUCUUCUUUAAAUACGUUUCUUUUCCCAUUUUAUUAUAAUUAUUAUUUUUUUAUUUGGAGCGGUGAAUGUACAAAGCUCAUUCUGUUGUCAGAUCUUUAUUUGUUCUAUUUUCGAUCAGAACAUUUCAAGAAAAUCAAAUACUGUAAAUAACAAGUGGGAGAUCUAUUGUUUGUAGAAGUAAUCAAUUUGAAGUGAAUUUUUUCAUUCUUUAAGUGGAGGAGGCAGUGUUGGUUUGAUCCACUACUUGUGAACAUUGUUGGUUUCUUGAGGAUUUGAUGGCUGAUUAAUUAAGCACUGGAGAUUCUGAUCCGUUUGAAGUUAUUUUGAAAAUGGUAU
rnacentral:lncRNA from 1 species